AUUUACUAGAGAAGUAGACAGAUCGGAGUCAAACACAACAGGGUUAGACUACAGGUAGUGACCAAAAAUAAAGCCUGGUAUUAAAAUUUGCGUGGAACUCUAAGAGUGGCACAUCCAUCUCUACACACCCCUUUGUCAGAGGUAGACCCAGUGUUUCACGACAGUAACUCACACACAAUUCAACUUUCAAUUAUAUACACACAAAUAAAUGUACAUCGGGAUAAAUUGACCAAGAAAAAACAACACAUAGCAAACCCUCUG